GCUGGGAUGGCUCAGUCAGUAAAGAACGUGAGACUCUUAAUCUCAAGGUCAUGGGUUCGAGCCCCAUGUUGAGCA